rnacentral:tRNA from 1 species
GCGGUAGUAGUAUAACGGUUAGUAUUCAGCCCUGUGGAGGCUGAGGACCGAGUUCGAUUCUCGGCUACCGCC